AACACCCCAUGGCAGCACGAAGUGGCAGAGGGGGAUCCUCAGACCACCCCCCACAGGGACCCUGGGGUCUGGCAGGACAGAGGGCACCAUCCCCUGUGCCAAGGGCUGCGGGUGUUUGGUGAGAGAAACAGAAAGUGGGCACUGCAGAAGUUUUAUGGGGAUGGCCUUUUUGGCUGGAGAAUGGUUUUUUGGGAUGAGGACACAGGCCACGCUCUGGGGAGAUGCUGCUAAGUGGGCACAAGUGAGAUGGGGAGGAGGAGCAGGGGGAGAGGCAGAGUUUGCCUGCUCCAGUGGUGGAUCCUGAUCCAGUUCAGGUGCUCGUGUGCCAGGCUGUGUCCCUGGCACUGGAGGGAUGUCCUGGCUCCCACGGGCACCACUCUGUCCCCACACUGCACACUCUGGGGGUGCUGGAUGUGUCCCCUGCCCUUUGUCCGACCAGCCCUGCUGCCUUCCUGCUUCUGGUGUGUGAGAAGAGCCUGUGCUGCCCGUGGGACUGGGGGAAAAAUCCUGCUGGAGGAGACAGAGGGAUCUCUGCUGUUACCCAGGCUGAGGAAAAGGACGUGGAGAGCAAUGGAGAGACUCCUUCUGUGCUUUCUGGGAUCCCUCUGCUCCUGGAAACGGUGGAGCUGA
rnacentral:lncRNA from 13 species